rnacentral:tmRNA from 1 species
CCCCUUGACCUGCCUUUAAAAUAACCUUACAUCUAGGGCGUUCGCCUUCGGGUGGACUACGGCGCUAGAGGCCGGUAUGGAAUAAGCUGACUGGACCCGGGGGCGGUACCCGGCGCCUCCACCAUAAGCUGAUCGAGUUUGGUCGGUUUGUGAGGGGGGCGAAAUAGGAUCGACAGCGGUAGUAAAGAUACAUGGUUGCGCUCGGUGAGCUACCACCGACAUCGGUGCAAACUUUACUAAAUGCCAACGACAAUCGUAUGGCUCCGGUUGCAGCUGCUGCGUAACGCAGUCGCUUGACCAAAUUCAAUUCCUGCAUAGGUGAGUCUAUGUAGGUGGGGUUCGGGGGUACCUAGCAACAGAGACCCCCACU